rnacentral:rRNA from 1 species
GUGGGGAAUAUUGGACAAUGGGCGAAAGCCUGAUCCAGCCAUGCCGCGUGUGUGAAGAAGGCCUUCGGGUUGUAAAGCACUUUAAGCGAGGAGGAAGGUUCGUCACCUAAUACGUGACGGAAUUGACGUUACUCGCAGAAUAAGCACCGGCUAACUCUGUGCCAGCAGCCGCGGUAAUACAGAGGGUGCAAGCGUUAAUCGGAAUUACUGGGCGUAAAGCGCGCGUAGGCGGUUGUGUAAGUUGGAUGUGAAAUCCCCGGGCUUAACCUGGGCACUGCAUUCAAAACUGCACGGCUAGAGUAUUGGAGAGGAAGGUAGAAUUCCAGGUGUAGCGGUGAAAUGCGUAGAGAUCUGGAGGAAUACCGAUGGCGAAGGCAGCCUUCUGGCCAAAUACUGACGCUGAGGUGCGAAAGCAUGGGGAGCAAACAGGAUUAGAUACCCCUGUAGUCC